rnacentral:rRNA from 1 species
UACGUAGGUGGCAAGCGUUAUCCGGAUUUACUGGGUGUAAAGGGCGUGUAGGCGGGAUGGUAAGUCAGAUGUGAAAACUAUGGGCUCAACCCAUAGCCUGCAUUUGAAACUAUCGUUCUUGAGUGUUGGAGAGGCAGGCGGAAUUCCUUGUGUAGCGGUGAAAUGCGUAGAUAUAAGGAAGAACACCAGUGGCGAAGGCGGAUGACUGGACGGCAACUGACGGUGAGGCGCGAAAGCGUGGGGAGCAAACAGG